AUAGUGCUUGUGAAAAACAGAUCCUCAGUUUAUCUACAGAACAGGUACUGUGUGGACAGCAGUAGUGCAGGUUUCCACUGCUAUGGUCUGCCACUGUGCCUCAAUACUGACCUCUAACCAUAGUCAGCUCAGGUUGCUGAGAAAGUGGUUUACUUUCCAAUUCACUUUACUUAUUGCUUUCC
ensembl:misc_RNA